UUCGCAAUGCCCGAAAGGGUGACGAAGCGACGCCGCGUGGGUGAAGAAGGCCUUCGGGUUGUAAAACCCUGUCAGGAGUUAUGAAAUGUAAGUGCGCUAAUAUCGUGCUUAUUUGACAAAGGCUCCAAAGGAAGCCACGGCUAACUCUGUGCCAGCAGCCGCGGUAAUACAGAGGUGGCGAGCGUUGUUCGAAAUAAUUGGGCGUAAAGAGCACGUAGGUGGGUUUGCAAGUCAGAUGUGAAAGCCUUCUGUUCAACGGGAGAAUUGCAUCUGAAACUGCUAAUCUUGAGUAUAGGAGGGGAGAAUGGAACUUCUGGUGGAGCGGUGAAAUGCGUAGAUAUCAGAAGGAACGCCGGCGGCGAAAGCGAUUCUCUGGCCUAUUACUGACACUCAGUGUGCGAAAGCUAGGGGAGCAAACGGGAUUAG
rnacentral:rRNA from 1 species